rnacentral:rRNA from 1 species
AUUGAACGCUGGCGGCAAGCCUAACACAUGCAAGUCGAGCGGAUGAAGGGAGCUUGCUCCUGGAUUCAGCGGCGGACGGGUGAGUAAUGCCUAGGAAUCUGCCUGGUAGUGGGGGAUAACGUCCGGAAACGGGCGCUAAUACCGCAUACGUCCUGAGGGAGAAAGUGGGGGAUCUUCGGACCUCACGCUAUCAGAUGAGCCUAGGUCGGAUUAGCUAGUUGGUGGGGUAAAGGCCCACCAAGGCGACGAUCCGUAACUGGUCUGAGAGGAUGAUCAGUCACACUGGAACUGAGACACGGUCCAGACUCCUACGGGAGGCAGCAGUGGGGAAUAUUGGACAAUGGGCGAAAGCCUGAUCCAGCCAUGCCGCGUGUGUGAAGAAGGUCUUCGGAUUGUAAAGCACUUUAAGUUGGGAGGAAGGGCAGUAAGUUAAUACCUUGCUGUUUUGACGUUACCAACAGAAUAAGCACCGGCUAACUUCGUG